rnacentral:rRNA from 1 species
GUGCCAGCCGCCGCGGUAAUACGUAGGUGGCAAGCGAUACUCGGAAUCACUAGGCGUAAAGCGCAGGUAGGCGGUUCAGUAAGUCUUUUGUGAAAGCUCCCGGCUCAACUGGGAGAGGCCAAGGGAAACUACUGGACUAGAGUGUGGUAGGGGAUACUGGAAUUCCUGGUGUAGCGGUGAAAUGCGUAGAUAUCAGGAGGAAUACCUAUGGCGAAAGCAGGUAUCUGGGCCAUCACUGACGCUGAGCUGCGAAAGCUAGGGGAGCAAACAGGAUUAGAUACCCUUGUAGUCC